rnacentral:misc_RNA from 1 species
GCAAACUUGGUCAUUUAGAGGAAGUAAAAGUCGUAACAAGGUAACCGUAGGUGAACCUGCGGUUGGAUCAUUAUCAAAUAUGAUACAAGGGGAGCGAAGGGGGAAACUCUCUCGCUCCUCGCGUCUCACGCAAGUGAGUUCGCACAACAUACUGUGAAACGUCAAAUGUCUCUGGCGGUGGGAUGUCUGGUCUCUUUCUCCGAGAACGGGCGUCUGCCAGCACUUUGCCCGCAUGGGCCGAGUGCCGUGGGCAAGCCGCCAAACGAUGUUCCAACGAACCGUUUGUAUUAUCGCUGACCCUGUUUACGUCCUUUUGUAAAUCAUACAAAAAAACUAAACAAAGAAAAACAACUUUUGGCAACGGAUCUCUUGGCUCUCGCAUCGAUGAAGAACGCAGC